rnacentral:rRNA from 1 species
CCAGCAGCCGCGGUAAUUCCAGCUCCAAUAGCGUAUAUUAAAGUUGUUGCAGUUAAAAAGCUCGUAGUCGAAUUUUGGAGGUAGAGGGCUGGUCGUUCGAAAGAUUGUACUGGCUCGCUGCCUCUUCCUUCUGGGGACCAACGUGUCCUUAAUUGGGCGUGUUGGAUAACCAGGACUUUUACUUUGAAAAAAUUAGAGUGUUUAAAGCAGGCUUAUGCCGUUGAAUAUAUUAGCAUGGAAUAAUAAGAUAGGUCUUUGGUACUAUUUUGUUGGUUUGCGCACCAGAGAAAUGAUUAAUAGGGACAGUUGGGGCUAUUCGUAUUCCAUUGUCAGAGGUGAAAUUCUUGGAUUUCUGGAAGACGAACUACUGCGAAAGCAUUUAGCAAGGAUGUUUUCAUUAAUCAAGAACGAACGU